CUACGGGUGGCAGCAGUGGGGAAUAUUGCACAAUGGGCGCAAGCCUGAUGCAGCCAUGCCGCGUGUAUGAAGAAGGCCUUCGGGUUGUAAAGUACUUUCAGCGGGGAGGAAGGGAGUAAAGUUAAUACCUUUGCUCAUUGACGUUACCCGCAGAGGAAGCACCGGCUAACUCCGUGCCAGCAGCCGCGGUAAUACGGAGGGUGCAAGCGUUAAUCGGAAAUACUGGGCGUAAAGCGCACGCAGGCGGUUUGUUAAGUCAGAUGUGAAAUCCCCGGGCUCAACCUGGGAACUGCAUCUGAUACUGGCAAGCUUGAGUCUCGUAGAGGGGGGUAGAAUUCCAGGUGUAGCGGUGAAAUGCGUAGAGAUCUGGAGGAAUACCGGUGGCGAAGGCGGCCCCCUGGACGAAGGCUGACGCUCAGGUGCGAAAGCGUGGGGAGCAAACAGGAUUAGAUACCCUCGUAGUC
rnacentral:rRNA from 1 species